rnacentral:rRNA from 1 species
AUUGAACUGAAGAGUUUGAUCCUGGCUCAGAUUGAACGCUGGCGGCAUGCCUUACACAUGCAAGUCGAACGGCAGCACGGGCUUCGGCCUGGUGGCGAGUGGCGAACGGGUGAGUAAUACAUCGGAACAUGUCCUGUAGUGGGGGAUAGCCCGGCGAAAGCCGGAUUAAUACCGCAUACGAUCUGAGGAUGAAAGCGGGGGACCUUCGGGCCUCGCGCUAUAGGGUUGGCCGAUGGCUGAUUAGCUAGUUGGUGGGGUAAAGGCCUACCAAGGCGACGAUCAGUAGCUGGUCUGAGAGGACGACCAGCCACACUGGGACUGAGACACGGCCCAGACUCCUACGGGAGGCAGCAGUGGGGAAUUUUGGACAAUGGGCGCAAGCCUGAUCCAGCAAUGCCGCGU